rnacentral:rRNA from 1 species
UACGGGGGGGGCAAGCGUUGUUCGGAAUUACUGGGCGUAAAGGGCGCGUAGGCGGCUCUUCAAGUCAGCCGUGAAAUCUCCAGGCUUAACCUGGAAGGGUCGGUUGAUACUGUCGAGCUAGAGUGUGGAAGAGGCAACUGGAAUUCCGUGUGUAGCGGUGAAAUGCGUAGAUAUACGGAGGAACACCUGCGGCGAAGGCGGGUUGCUGGGCCAACACUGACGCUGAGGCGCGAAAGCCAGGGUAGCAAACGGG